UGCGUAACAGCUCACUGGUCGAGGAGUCCGGCGCCGAUAAUGAUCGGGAAUAAGCAGAGAGCCGAAACCGCGGACUUCGUAAGAAGUGGUAGGAGAGCGUUCCUGUCGGCGUUGAAGCGUGCCCGAAAGGGCCCGUGGAGCGUCAGGAAGUGAAUAUGUGGGCUUGAGUAACGAUAAUGCGGGUGAGAAUCCCGCACGCCGUAAGCCUAAGGAUUCCUGGGGAAGGUACAUCCGCCCAGGGUUAGGCGGGACCUAAGGCGAGGCCGAAA
rnacentral:rRNA from 1 species